UACAGAGGGGGCAAGCGUUAUUCGGAAUUAUUGGGCGUAAAGGGUGCGUAGGCGGCCUGGCAAGUGGAAGGUGAAAUCCCUCGGCUUAACCGAGGAACUGCCCUCCAAACUGCUUGGCUUGAGUCCGGGAGAGGUGAGUGGAAUUCCCAGUGUAGCGGUGAAAUGCGCAGAUAUCAGGAGGAACACCAAUUGCGAAGGCAGCUCGCUGGGACGUUACUGACGCUGAGACGCGAAAGCGUGGGGAGCAAACAGG
rnacentral:rRNA from 1 species